rnacentral:pre_miRNA from 1 species
UAUAUACUUUCUCCGUCCAACAAAAGAUGUCAAAAUUUGAAUAUAUUUAGACAUGAUUUAGUGUAUAGAUGCAUUCAAAUUUAGUCAAAGUUGGAACAUGUUUUGUUGGACGGAAGGAGUAUCAA